CGUGUAGGCGGCCAGAUAAAUCCGCUGUGAAAUCUCGAGGCUCAACUUCGAGCUGUCGGUGGAAACUGUCUGGCUAGAGUCCGGAAGAGGAGAAUGGAAUUCCUGGUGUAGCGGUGAAAUGCGCAGAUAUCAGGAAGAACACCCGUGGCGAAGGCGGUUCUCUGGGACGGUACUGACGCUGAGACGCGAAAGCGUGGGAGCGAACA
rnacentral:rRNA from 1 species